rnacentral:rRNA from 1 species
UACGUAGGGGGCAAGCGUUGUCCGGAAUUAUUGGGCGUAAAGAGCGCGUAGGCGGUCCGGUAAGUCGGUUGUGAAAGUCGGGGGCUCAACCCUCGGAUGCCGAUCGAUACUGUCGGGCUAGAGUCCGGAAGAGGCGAGUGGAAUUCCUGGUGUAGCGGUGAAAUGCGCAGAUAUCAGGAGGAACACCAAUGGCGAAGGCAGCUCGCUGGGACGGUACUGACGCUGAGGCGCGAAAGCGUGGGGAGCAAACGGG